rnacentral:rRNA from 1 species
UACGAGGGGGGCGAGCGUUGUUCGGAUUCACUGGGCGUAAAGGGUGCGUAGGUGGUUAGGUAAGUCCGAUGUGAAAUCUCCAGGCUCAACCUGGAAAUGGCAUUGGAUACUAUCUAGCUUGAGGAGUGGAGGGGGGACUGGAAUUCUCGGUGUAGCAGUGAAAUGCGUAGAUAUCGAGAGGAACACCAGUGGCGAAGGCGAGUCCCUGGACACUUCCUGACACUGAGGCACGAAAGCUAGGGGAGCAAACAGG